UUAAACUAAACAUAGUUUGCCAUGGGCAGAUCACAAAGACGUGACUCGUGGUCCAAGAGUUAACUUGGUACGGUCUGCCUCGAUAGGCCCGAAACAGGGCAUCGUUCGAACAAAACCCGACUCGGUCAGAACCGGCUCCAGGCGGCCUUUUCGAGAGAGCCCAAAAGGGCGGCAGCGGCACCGAUGGAGGACGACGGCGACGACUGGUUGGCCGCCGACAAGCUCGAGCACCUCCUCGCCUGCUUCGCCAUCGCCAUCCUCGUCGCCGCCCUCGCUGGCCGGAGCCGCCACGCCUUCCUCCGCCGGCGGAGCGUCGCCCUCGGCUCCAUCGCGGCCCUUGUCGCCGGGGCUGGCAAGGAGGCCGGGGACGAGAUCGGACUCUGGCAUUCUGCCGGCGCCUCCUCCAAGGACGCUGCGGCUGACCUCCUGGGCGUGCUUCUGGCCGCCGUCUUCCUCUCCAUCUCCAGGAGGUUCUGGCCCUCCUCCCGACGCGAGAUCGAAGUGGCUGCAGAGGAUUCGAUUGUCUAGAUCCGACCAGACUUCUACAAACCCUAAACAUUUCGACAUAUUUCACAAGAAUAUCUACCUACCUUCUCUCCUCUCCAAGCCAAGAAGCCCUGCACAACCACUAUCUGAUGGGCCUAAUAGAUCGGGUUGGCAAUUCCGGAUCCAUAAUUUCCAUCUUGAACGAAGAGGUGACAAACUUUAGGAGCAAGUCAUCGAGUUAGAGGUGCGAGUCAACCCACGAAAAGUUGCCAACAUAAAGGCGAAGUUGGUCGAGGCAUAGGAUCUAGUCGAAUCAUUUCAAUAUAAUAAUGCUAAGUAGAGAUAGACUCUAAAGAGAAUUUGAGAUUACAAUUGUCAAAUUGAGAAUGAAUUAUUGACGUUUCAAAGCCAAAUCCAUACCUUGGAGACUCAAGUGGUUAAGUUGAUAGACUACAUGUAGGCUAUUGAGGCUAUAGUUUCGAAAUGGGCGACAAAAUCAUCAUCACCUAUAAGGAGCCUAUCGACUUUAAGAAGGGACUUCUCCAAACGGGAGAUGCCAUGUAAAAGUAUAAAUACCUUCUAGCCAUCACUCCGAUGUUGACCAAGUACCUAUAUUUAUAAUUCGAGGACC